rnacentral:rRNA from 1 species
AGUGAACGCUGGCGGUAGGCCUAACACAUGCAAGUCGAACGGCAGCACAGUAAGAGCUUGCUCUUACGGGUGGCGAGUGGCGGACGGGUGAGGAAUACACCGGAAUCUACUUUUUCGUGGGGGAUAACGUAGGGAAACUUACGCUAAUACCGCAUACGACCUACGGGUGAAAGCAGGGGAUCUUCUGACCUUGCGCGAUUGAAUGAGCCGAUGUCGGAUUAGCUAGUUGGCGGGGUAAAGGCCCACCAAGGCGACGAUCCGUAGCUGGUCUGAGAGGAUGGUCAGCCACACUGGAACUGAGACACGGUCCCGACUCCUACGGGAGGAAGCAGUGGGGAAUAUUGGACAAGGGGGGCAAGCCUGAUCCAGCCAUACCGCGUGAGUGAAGAAGGCCUUCGGGUUGGAAAGCCCUUUUGUUGGGAAAGAAAAGAAGCAGGUUAAUACCCCGCUGUUCUGACGGUACCCAAAGAAUAAGCACCGGCUAACUUCGUG